rnacentral:rRNA from 1 species
AUUGAACGCUGGCGGCAUGCCUUACACAUGCAAGUCGAACGGCAGCGGGCCUUCGGGUGCCGGCGAGUGGCGAACGGUGAGUAAUGCAUCGGAACGUGCCAUUGAGUGGGGGAUAACGUAGCGAAAGUUACGCUAAUACCGCAUAUUCUGUGAGCAGGAAAGCAGGGGACCGCAAGGCCUUGCGCUCUUUGAGCGGCCGAUGUCAGAUUAGCUAGUUGGUGAGGUAAAGGCUUACCAAGGCGACGAUCUGUAGCGGGUCUGAGAGGAUGAUCCGCCACACUGGAACUGAGACACGGUCCAGACUCCUACGGGAGGCAGCAGUGGGGAAUUUUGGACAAUGGGCGCAAGCCUGAUCCAGCCAUGCCGCGUGAGUGAAGAAGGCCUGGUGUAAG